AUGCUUACUGGGCAGGGGAGACCCACGGUUGGUCAUAAAGGUGGUUUUCCCAGGGCGAGGCUCAUCCAUCGUAUUCUGGAUUAAUUGAUUUCUAUAUUUUCCCCAAAUGUGUGAAACUGCACUAUACUCUGUGGUAGAGGGGGAGUGUUUAUGCUCUCCCCUU